rnacentral:rRNA from 1 species
UACAGAGGGUGCAAGCGUUGUUCGGAAUUAUUGGGCGUAAAGCGCGUGUAGGCGGCUUUGCAAGUCGGGUGUGAAAGCCCUCAGCUUAACUGAGGAAGUGCGCCCGAAACUGCAUUGCUUGAGUACCGGAGAGGGUGGCGGAAUUCCCCAAGUAGAGGUGAAAUUCGUAGAUAUGGGGAGGAACACCGGUGGCGAAGGCGGCCACCUGGACGGAUACUGACGCUGAGACGCGAAAGCGUGGGGAGCAAACAGG